CCUACGGGUGUGCAGCAGUGGGGAAUAUUGCACAAUGGGGGAAACCCUGAUGCAGCGACGCCGCGUGAGUGCAGAAGUAAUUCGUUACGUAAAGCUCUAUCAGCAGGGAAGACACACUCACCUUACGGUCAGCAGACGGUACCUGAGUAAGAAGCCCCGGCUAACUACGUGCCAGCAGCCGCGGUACUACGUAGGGGGCAAGCGUUAUCCGGAUUUACUUGGUGUAAAGGGAGCGUAGACUGUGCGCCAAGUCUGGAGUGCAAUGCCGCAGCGUAACUGCGGAACUGCUUUGGAAGCUGGCGAACUAGAGUGCGGGAGGGGUAAGAGGAAUUCCUAGUGUAGCGGUGAAAUGCGUAGAUAGUAGGAGGAACACCGGUGGCGAAGGCGGCUUACUGGACCGUAACUGACGUUGAGGCUCGAAAGCGUGGGGAGCAAACAGGAUUAGAUACCCUUGUAGUC
rnacentral:rRNA from 1 species